UACGGGGGGGGCAAGCGUUGUUCGGAAUUACUGGGCGUAAAGGGCGUGUAGGCGGCCAACUAAGUCCGACGUGAAAUCCCUAGGCUUAACCUAGGAACUGCGUCGGAUACUGGAUGGCUUGAAUCCGGGAGAGGGAUGCGGAAUUCCAGGUGUAGCGGUGAAAUGCGUAGAUAUCAGGAAGAACACCUAUGGCGAAGGCAGCUCUCUGGGACGGUACUGACGCUGAGACGCGAAAGCGUGGGGAGCGAACAGG
rnacentral:rRNA from 1 species